GAUGAAGAACGUAGCGAAAUGCGAUAAGUAAUGUGAAUUGCAGAAUUCAGUGAAUCAUCGAAUCUUUGAACGCACAUUGCGCCCGCCAGUAUUCUGGCGGGCAUGCCUGUUCGAGCGUCAUUACAACCCUCAGGCCCCCGGGCCUGGCGUUGGGGAUCGGCGGAAGCCCCCUGCGGGCACAACGCCGUCCCCCAAAUACAGUGGCGGUCCCGCCGCAGCUUCCAUUGCGUAGUAGCUAACACCUCGCAACUGGAGAGCGGCGCGGCCACGCCGUAAAACACCCAACUUCUGAAUGUUGACCUCGAAUCAGGUAGGAAUACCCGCUGAACUUAAGCAUAUCAAUAAGCGGAAGA
rnacentral:misc_RNA from 1 species